AGCGAACGCUGGCGGCAGGCCUAACACAUGCAAGUCGAACGAAGCCUUCGGGCUUAGUGGCGGACGGGUGAGUAACACGUGGGAACGUACCUUUUGGUUCGGAAUAACGCAGAGAAAUUUGCGCUAAUACCGAACGAGCCCUUCGGGGGAAAGAUUUAUCGCCGAAAGAUCGGCCCGCGUUGGAUUAGGUAGUUGGUGUGGUAGAGGCGCACCAAGCCUACGAUCCAUAGCUGGUCUGAGAGGACGAUCAGCCACACUGGGACUGAGACACGGCCCAGACUCCUACGGGAGGCAGCAGUGGGGAAUCUUGCGCAAUGGGCGAAAGCCUGACGCAGCCAUGCCGCGUGAAUGAUGAAGGUCUUAGGAUUGUAAAAUUCUUUUACCAGGGACGAUAAUGACGGUACCUGGAGAAAAAGCCCCGGCUAACUUCGUGCCAGCCGCCGCAGUAACAC
rnacentral:rRNA from 1 species